rnacentral:misc_RNA from 1 species
GAUGAAGAACGCAGCGAAAUGCGAUAAGUAAUGUGAAUUGGAGAAUUCAGUGAAUCAUCGAAUCUUUGAACGCACAUUGCGCCCCUUGGUAUUCCGAGGGGCAUGCCUGUUCGAGCGUCAUUAUAACCCCUCAAGCUCAGCUUGGUGUUGGGGCCUGCCGCACGGGCAGCCCUUAAAAUCAGUGGCGGUGCCAUCUGGCUCUAAGCGUAGUAAUUCUUCUCGCUAUAGAGUCCCGGUGGAUGCUUGCCAUUAACCCCCAAUUUUCUAUGGUUGACCUCGGAUCAGGUAGGGAUACCCGCUGAACUUAAGCAUAUCAAUAAGCGGAGGA